ACACUUAUCUGGCAGGGGAGACUCCUUGAUCAUGAAGAAGGUUUUCCCAGGAUGAGGCUCAGCCAUUGCACUCUGCCUGUGCUGACCCCUGCGAUUUCCCCAAACGUGGGAAACUCGACUGCAAAAUUUGUAUAGUGCGGGACUGCAUGAAUGCUUUACCCUG
rnacentral:snRNA from 1 species